rfam:Canis lupus familiaris chromosome 21, whole genome shotgun sequence.
CGGGGGAGGCAGGAUCCCGGGUUGUGUCCCCCGGCGCCCUGGGAUCCCGGGCCUGCGCUGCUGGAAUCGCGCUCCCAGGCCGGGCUCCCG